GCGGGCGUGGCGAAACUGGUAGACGCAAGGGACUUAAAAUCCCUCGGCCUUGGCUGUACGGGUUCGAUCCCCGUCGCCCGCA
rnacentral:tRNA from 2 species